UCAACUUUCUCUCUCUACCUGAGAGCUUCUCUCUCCUCAUUCUCGCCGGAAAUCGCCGCCGCUGCACCACCGCCGGAACCCGGAUUUCAACCAAAAUUACCAGAUUAUCUCCUCUUCCUCCCCUCUUUCCAUUUCUCCAACCAAAAUCCAGAAAUUUGGCCAUUCAAUCCUCCAAAAACCCUAGAACCCGAAGCUAAUUUGAGGGUUUUUGUGAUUUCUUCUUUCCAAGCUUAAAUCAAGGCUACGGGUUUGGCAAGGAUUUGUGGUGAAGAAGGCCAAGGAGAAGGAAUAGGCUGUGAU